rnacentral:rRNA from 1 species
GAUGAACGCUGGCGGCGUGCCUAAUACAUGCAAGUCGAGCGAACAGAUGAGGAGCUUGCUCCUCUGACGUUAGCGGCGGACGGGUGAGUAACACGUGGAUAACCUACCUAUAAGACUGGGAUAACUUCGGGAAACCGGAGCUAAUACCGGAUAAUAUAUUGAACCGCAUGGUUCAAUAGUGAAAGACGGUUUUGCUGUCACUUAUAGAUGGAUCCGCGCCGCAUUAGCUAGUUGGUAAGGUAACGGCUUACCAAGGCAACGAUGCGUAGCCGACCUGAGAGGGUGAUCGGCCACACUGGAACUGAGACACGGUCCAGACUCCUACGGGAGGCAGCAGUUGGGAAUCUUCCGCAAUGGGCGAAAGCUUGACGGAGCAACGCCGCGUGAGUGAUGAAGGUCUUCGGAUCGUAAAACUCUGUUAUUAGGGAAGAACAAAUGUGUAAGUAACUAUGCACGUCUUGACGGUACCUAAUCAGAAAGCCACGGCUAACUACGUG